UUUUAAGGAUAAGUCUUUCUCACGCAAUAUUUGGGACAGACUUAUACUAAAA
rnacentral:pre_miRNA from 1 species